GACGAACGCUGGCGGCGUGCUUAACACAUGCAAGUCGAGCGGAAAGGCCCUUCGGGGUACUCGAGCGGCGAACGGGUGAGUAACACGUGAGUAACCUGCCCUUGGCUCUGGGAUAAGCCCGGGAAACUGGGUCUAAUACCGGAUAUGACCAUCAGAUGCAUGUCUUGGUGGUGGAAAGAUUUUUCGGCUGGGGAUGGGCUCGCGGUCUAUCAGCUUGUUGGUGGGGUGAUGGCCUACCAAGGCGACGACGGGUAGCCGGCCUGAGAGGGUGACCGGCCACACUGGGACUGAGACACGGCCCAGACUCCUACGGGAGGCAGCAGUGGGGAAUAUUGCGCAAUGGGCGGAAGCCUGACGCAGCGACGCCGCGUGGGGAUGAAGGCCU
rnacentral:rRNA from 1 species